UUCCGGUUGAUCCUGCCGGACCCCACUGCUAUCGAGAUGGGACUAAGGUAUGCUAGUCGAACGACCAGAACUAUGUCUGGAAGUGGCACACUGCUCAGUAACACGUAGCUAACCUACCCUUAGGACGUGGAUACCCCCGAGAAAUUGGGGUUAAUCCGCGAUAGGUGUAAUGUCCUGGAAUGGUAUUACGCCUAAAGGUGUAUCAUACAUGUUUGAUAUACGCCUAAGGAUGGGGCUGCGGCCUAUCAGGCUGUUGGUGAGGUAAUGGCUCACCAAACCUUUGACCGGUACGGGCCAUGAGAGUGGUAGCCCGGAGAUGGACACUGAGACAAGGGUCCAGGCCCUAAGGGGCGCAGCAACCGCGAAACCUCCACAAUGCACUCACGUGCGAUGGGGCUAUCUCGAGUGCCACCUGAUGAAGGUGGCUUUUCCUAGGUCUUCAAAGCCUUGGGAAUAAGAGGGGGGCAAGACUGGUGUCAGCCGCCGCGGUAACACCAGCCCCUCGAGUGGUGGGGAUGAUUAUUUGGCCUAAAGCGUCCGUAGCCGGCCGAGCAAGUCUUCCGUUAAAUCCAGCGUCUCAAGCGUUGGACUGCGGGAGAUACUACACGGCUAGAGAGUGGGAGAGGUCAGCGGUAUUCUGGGGGUAGGGGCGAAAUCCUUUGAUCCCCGGAGGACCACCAGUGGCGAAGGCUGCUGACUAGAACACGUCUGACGGUCAGGGACGAAAGCUGGGGUAGCGAACCGGAUUAGAUACCCGGGUAGUCCCAGCCGUAAACGAUGCAUGCUAGGUGUUGGGUUGGCCACGAGCCACCCCAGUGCCGCAGGGAAGCCGUUAAGCAUGCCGCCUGGGAAGUACGAUCGCAAGAUUGAAACUUAA
rnacentral:rRNA from 1 species